rnacentral:rRNA from 1 species
CCUACGGGAGGCUGCAGUAGGGAAUUUUCGUCAAUGGGCGCAAGCCUGAACGAGCAAUGCCGCGUGAACGAGGAAGGUCUUCGGAUCGUAAAGUUCUGUUGAAGGGGAAAAAGAGCGGAGAGAGGAAAUGGUCUCCGAUUGAUAUUACCCUUCGAGGAAGUCACGGCUAACUACGUGCCAGCAGCCGCGGUAAUACGUCGGUGGCGAGCGUUAUCCGGAAUGAUUGGGCGUAAAGGUGGCGUAGGCGGCCUGCUAAGUCUGGAGUGAAAGGUACCGGCUCAACCGGUACAGGCUCUGGAAACUGGCGGGCUAGAGAGCAGGUGAGGGCGGGGGAACUCCAUGUGUAGCGGUAAAAUGCGUAGAUAUAUGGAAGAACACCAGUGGCGAAGGCGGCCGCCUGGCCUGUUACUGACGCUGAGGCACGAAAGCGUGGGGAGCAAAUAGGAUUAGAUACCCCAGUAGUC